rnacentral:rRNA from 1 species
GGCUUAACACAUGCAAGUCGAGGGGCAGCAUGAAGUUUGCUUGCAAACUUUGAUGGCGACCGGCGGAUGGGUGAGUAACGCGUAUCCAACCUGCCCCCUUCCCGGGCACAGCCCUUGGAAACGAGGAUUAACUCCCGAUGGCGUCAGACUAGCGCAUGCUUGUCUGACCAAAUGUUUAAGGAAGGGGAUGGGGAUGCGUCCCAUUAGCUUGUUGGCGGGGUAACGGCCCACCAAGGCUCCGAUGGGUAGGGGUUCUGAGAGGAAGGUCCCCCACACUGGAACUGAGACACGGUCCAGACUCCUACGGGAGGCAGCAGUGAGGAAUAUUGGUCAAUGGAGGCAACUCUGAACCAGCCAAGUAGCGUGAGGGAAGACUGCCCUACGGGUUGUAAACCUCUUUUGUCGGGGAAUAAACUGCGCCACGUGUGGCGCCCUGCAUGUACCCGCAGAAUAAGGACCGGCUAAUUCCGUGCCAGCAGCCGCGGUAAUACGGAAGGUCCGAGCGUUAUCCGGAUUUAUUGGGUUUAAAGGGAGCGUAGGCGGGCUGUUAAGCCAGCCGUCAAAUUGCGGGGCUCAACCCCGUAUCGCGGUUGGAACUGGCGGCCUUGAGUGGGCAAGAGGCGCGUGGAAUUCGUGGUGUAGCGGUGAAAUGCAUAGAUAUCACGAGGAACUCCGAUUGCGAAGGCAGCGCGCUGGGGCCUUACUGACGCUGAUGCUCGAAGGCGCGGGUAUCAAACAGGAUUAGAUACCCUGGUAGUCCGCGCGGUAAACUAUGGACGCUCGCGGUGCGGGUCUUUGACUUACGCCGCCUA